UACGUAGGCAGCGAGCGUUGUUCGGAGUUACUGGCGUAAAGAGUGCGUAGGCGUUUCUAAGUUUGGUGUGAAUCUCCCAGCUUAACUGGGAGGGUGCGCCGAAAACUGAAGCUUGAGUAUGGGAGAGGUAAGCGGAAUUCCUGGUGUAGCGGUGAAAUGACGUAGAUAUCAGAGGAACACCUGCGGUGUAGACGGCUACUGGACCA
rnacentral:rRNA from 1 species